ensembl:lncRNA
CUCAAUGAUUACUCAACAGGUGUGCAGCCUCACCCAGCCUUCCACCACAAACUCUUGACCUCUGUAUUUUUUCUUGUCAGUAGUUUGCAGUUACUUUGGUGUGUGGGCAAUAAGAUUAGGGUGGUGUUGGUUGAUAAUUAUUAUCCUCACUCCCCUGCUAUCAUGGUGGGAUGAGCUCUUCUUCAUUUAAAUGGAUACAAUAAUUGAUUUUAAGGAGUCAUCCCAACCCGAAGGUGAUGAUAUGAAAUGUGACCUUUAGUAAGGGCUCUGUCGGUGUGCGGGCUCAUAAGGUCCAGCUGAGCAGUAUUUUAACCUGACUCAACAAGUUAAUAAAAACUGCUGGCAAAAGCACUUGAACUGCAUGCAGUGACUGCUGGGACACGAGGGGAAAGCUGUCAAUAUGAAGAGUCGGCUGUAAACGACACAGCUGCUCUGCGUCUCUCCCUCGCAGCGCCCCGGGAUGACCACCGAGGCGGUGAGGGUUGUGUUGGUGCCCGGGUCGUACCGUCACCGUCACCUGCCCGGCCCUGGUUCUGUGAACUGCAGGGAGGAGGUGGGAGACUGAGCGGAGGACAGAAGGCUUUGGUGCUUCCCUCCGCCAUCUCCGUCUGGGGGGGUCAGCUCUACCAGAGCAGAUCUGGAGAGAAGAGUCCCAGACGAGGGUGGCCUUGGAGCGAGGUGGUAGGAACUGUCGGUUGAGACUUUGAGUUCAUUUGCUUAUUGUCGCAGAAAAGACUACAUGUUUUUCCGAAUUAAUUGAUGACUGCUUGAGGAACGUUGGACAAAGUUCUACGAAGGUCUCCACCGUUGGUGCUAGCCAUGGCCGUCACUAAUUUCACUGAUUUAUGAGAACUUGUCUUCAUUACUGCAACUAAGGACGUCUAUCUAACACAGUCACGAAUGAAAUGUAGAUUAGAUGUAUCAAAAAUGGCUGGAGUUUUCUGACUAUUAAAGGAGGUUAAACAUAUUUACAUGGAUAAUAUAUACAUGUUCAGAGCAUAAUGUUAUCGUUAUCGUCAGUCUCUUUGGAUAAAAGCAUCUGCUAAAUGCCCUAAAUGUAAAUGCAAAAAUUCAAAAUUAAUGUAACAUUAAAUUACUUUUGAUUUAACAAACAAAUGUAUAUAUACACACACACACACACACACACACACACACACACAUACUAUGUAUCAUAUACCAUAAUGGGUCCAUGGCCCCUUCAUGUUAGAAACCAUCUUUUGUAUGAAUAUUUGGCUGAAUGAUGUUAUCCCAUUGAUCCAACAGCUCAAUAUCAUAAGCCAGUGUAAGUUUGUUUGAUCAUCUGCUAAUAGGAUUAAAAUGCUACUAGAACCAACCUUUUAAUAAGUUGGAUGAUUAAAGAAACGGAUCAAAAAACAGCCGUAAUUCCCUUAUUGGUUGCAUUUCAGUGGUGAAGAUUGUUAUCAGGGUGUGCCUAUGCUGUAAGUCAAAUAGAGAUUCCUU